AGUUCUUGAACAAGUUAAAAGUUCAAUAGAAAAACAAGAAAUCAUAAAUGAAGAGGUUAGUAAUGUGCUUGAAAGAAUUACUAGUUCAGUGGAAAACAAAUUAAUAACAACCAGUGUUGUUGAACAAUUAGUUGAUUCUGUAGAACAGGAAGAAACUCAAACUGAUG